GGCUUAUAAUUGAAGUCUGGCAUGAAUGAAAUAAUGGGGAGUUACUGUCUUUUUGGGUUUUCAAGAACUUACUUAACAAGUGAAAAUACUUGUAAAUAAAUAAUAGACGAGAAGACCCUAGAAAUUUUUUUAAUAUUGGUUUUAUAUCUAAUUAAUUUUGCUGGGGCGGCAGAAUAACAUUAAACUUAUUUUAAUAAAUUUGAACUAUCUACUGAGUAAAAGUAAAUUACUCUAGGGAUAACAGCAUAAUUUUACAAAGUUUGUGACCUCGAUGUUGGACUAGGGACUUUAGUGUUUAGAAGAUACUAAAUCAGGCUCUGU
rnacentral:rRNA from 1 species